rnacentral:rRNA from 1 species
AAAGGAAUAGACGGGGACCCGCACAAGCGGAGGAGCGCGUGGUUUAAUUCGACGGCAAUCGAAAAACCUUACCAGGGUUUGACAUGUAUCUGCAUAUCUUUGGAAACAUUGAUAGCCUUAGAGGGUGAUACACAGGUACUGCAUGGCCGUCGUCAGCUCGUGUCGUGAGAUGUAGGGUUAAGUCCCGAAACGAGCGUAACCCCCAUUCCAUGUUACAAGUGUCUUGGAAAACCGCCUCGGUAAAACGAGGAGGAAGGUGGGGAUGACGUCUGGUCCGCAUAGUCCUUAUGUCCUGGGCUACACACGCGCUACAAUGGUCGGUACAAUGGGCAGCCAAAUCGUAAGAUGGAGCAAAUCCUCAAAACCGAUCUCAGUUCGAAUUGUGGGCUGAAAUUCGCCCACAUGAAGUUGGAUUCGCUAGUAAUCGUGGAUCAGCCAUGCCGCGGUGAAUACGUUCUCGGGUCUUGCACACACCGCCCGU